GUGUGUGUGUGUGUGUGUGUGUGUACUUGUGUAUGUACAUGCAUGUUAAAACUCUACGUGGGGAACUUUACAGCAGUCACUACUUAUAUGCCAGUCUGAAGUCAUGUCCUGCUGAGGCAGGAGGCUUGAGUUCUACAGCUAGAUGGCUGGGUUAUUAAAACGGCUGCUGCUGUGGGGUUUUGACUAGGGAAGACACACUUUGGAAAUGACAGGCACUGGCAGAGGGUUUAGUAAAACACUGGCAGAGGGUUUAGUAAACACUGGCAGAGGGUUUAGUAAAACACUGGCAGCGGGUUUAGUAAAACACUGGCAGCGGGUUUAGUAAAACACUGGCAGUGGGUUUAGUAAAACACUGGCAGAGGGUUUAGUAAAACACUGGCAGCGGGUUUAGUAAAACACUGGCAGAGGGUUUAGUAAAACACUGGCAGUGGGUUUAGUAAAACACUGGCAGUGGGUUUAGUAAAACACUGGCAGUGGGUUUAGUAAAACACUGGAAGAGGGUUUAGUAAAACACUGGAAGAGGGUUUAGUAAAACACUGGCAGCGGGUUUAGUAAAACACUGGAAGAGGGUUUAGUAAAACACUGGAAGAGGGUUUAGUAAAACACUGGCAGUGGGUUUAGUAAAACACUGGCAGAGGGUUUAGUAAAACACUGGCAGUGGGUUUAGUAAAACACUGGCAGAGAGUUUAGUAAAACACUGGAAGAGGGGUUUAGUAAAACACUGGCAGAGGGUUUAGUAAAACACUGGCAGAGGGUUUAGUAAAACACUGGCAGUGGGUUUAGUAAAACACUGGCAGAGGGUUUAGUAAAACACUGGCAGUGGGUUUAGUAAAACACUGGCAGAGGGUUUAGUAAAACACUGGCAGAGGGUUUAGUAAAACACUGGCAGUGGGUUUAGUAAAACACUGGCAGAGGGUUUAGUAAAACACUGGAAUAGGGUUUAGUAAAACACUGGCAGAGGGUUUAGUAAACGGCACUUCUCCCCCUCUCCCCCACUAGUCACUCCUCUCUUCUCCUCCCCACUAGUCACUCCUCUCUUCCCCCCCACUAGUCACUCCUCUCUUCUCCUCCCCACUAGUCACUCCUCUCUUCCCCCCCCCACUAGUCACUCCUCUCUUCCCCCCACUAGUUACUCCUCUCUUCCCCCCACUAGUCACUCCACUCUUCCCCCCCACUAGUCACACCUCUCUUCUCCCCCCCACUAGUCACUCCUCUCUUCUCCCCCCCACUAGUCACUCCUCACCCUCCCACUAGUCACUCCUCUCUUCUCCCCCCCACUAGUCACC
rnacentral:lncRNA from 1 species